rnacentral:lncRNA from 1 species
ACCCACCCAAGUGGUACUCAGGAUAUCACUCAAGAAAUCACUCCAGAUAUCCCUCCAGUAAUUAAGGAACAAAAGAAGAAAAGGCACACUAGCCUGGGAACUUCCUCUCUGCCCAGAACAUUGGAGGCUAUACACCACACCUCCUCAACAGUAUUUAUAGGAACUCAAACACUGAGAUCCUGCUCUGCUCCAGUAACAAGAAGCCGAAAGCACCAGCCUGAAGAUGACGAGUGAGACCUCGUCGAAACGUCGCCUAGACACCCCAACUUUUACACGGGAAGACACCCGAGGACACCAAAACCUGCAUUCCUGUACCCGUGAAAAUCUACGAAAGCAUAUAUAUAUAUAUAUAUAUAUAUAUAUAUAUAUAUAUAUAUAUAUAUAUGUAUCAGGGGCAAUCUCUUAGGGCGGCAUAGGGUCCUAGUGCUAAAUUGUUCCAUUUGCCUGCCAUUCUAUUCCACCACUUCAGCUAGAACACCAGUUAUGUCUGCAACUGGGAGAAAUGUAAGGAAAUGAGUAUAAGGGACAGAGGUGGACAAUCGAAGCACUAAAGAAGGUGGUGGUUUGUGCUGCAUUGCUUUCUGAGUGACUGGUUUAAUGUUUUAUAUAUUUCGUAAAAUUUAUAUACUAAAAACCCCACCUCAAGGGGCUUAUAAAAAUAAAAUAAAAAUGAUAAAUGCAGCUAUUUAAAACAUUCAAAUAAUGAAAUCAGCAAUAAGCUAAGAAAAAGAUUAAGACACAUGUAAUCAUUCUACAUAUCUGGGUAAGCUUGUCUAAACGAAAAUGUUUUUAGCAGGUGCUGAAAAGAGUGUAGCCGCCCACCUGAUGUCAACAGGCAGGGAGUUCUAUUUACAGUAUUUCAUACAAUGCAAACCCUACACAACUUUUUAUAUUCAUCUCUAUCUAUACGGACUGAAACCAUCUGACAAUUUAAGUUCCAACUUAAAAAACAAGGCAGGGAAUGGAUGGAGAUGGAUUGCUGUUAUACACGCACACGGACUCUUGGUGAACACGGUGCUUACAGAGCGGCAUAGACAGAAAAAGGGGGAGUGGGAAAGCCGCGUCUCUUUCAAAGGAAAAGCAACAGGGGAAGAGGGAGAGCAGGAGGAGGAGCCCGGACAGUUGCAACUCAAUCAUCCAUGCGUUAUGACCCACCAUUUGGAACCCCCAAGGACUGACUCUUUCAAUACCUUUUGCCAAUGAGACAUCCAAAAUGGUAAGUACUGUUUUGUUCCAACAUGCCCAGCUGCUCUGGUUGUCCCUUGUCUUCCUGGGCUAGGGAGAUUCCUUGCUUUGGGAAACAAUGCAGUAGUCAGCACAAAUAUAUGUAUCUCUGGGGAAAAUGCACAUUGAAGAAUAUUCAAGAACACAU